UUUAUUGUUCAGGCGAACACCCAGGUACUUGUAAGAUGUCAUCAUCUCUAUGUCCAUUCCCUGGAUGUUCACUGUAAAAUCGAGCUGUUUAUU